ensembl:lncRNA
AUGACGCAAGCAGCACUCAACAAUGCCCCAAACAAGGAGUCAAACAAGGAGUCAUCCCUGAAGCCUUUUAUCUGCCCCCGACACCAGCAGCUCCAGGCAGCUACUAGGCCUGCAGAAGGAGCCUCGCACCUCGCGGGAGUCUCUAGUUGCUCCCUGGCUCCCUCAGGCUCAGUCACCAACUCCGCCCUGCAGAGGGCGGUGGCUCCUGCUGGGGUCCUGGGUGCACCUCUUGCGCCCUUUAUUGCUUGCUCUCCACUCGCCUUUCUUGCUGCCUCUGAACACACCGUGUUGCUGUUCCUGCUCCCUGGGACACCCUCUCCUUGGAGCCGCCACGCAGCACGGACGUCAGGGGGCCUGCGGGUCCCUGGGAGCUGCGCCCAGGGGCUCGGAUGUAUUCGUGUAUACACGUGGCCACACUGGGCAAUCCCGUAACUGCCUCUAUAGAUCAGGACUCCGCCUCCCUGCUGCCGUCGGGAAAGUGGGCCGAGGGAGCCCCAGGAUCCACAGAUCACUCAGAAUCCGCCCGUCCAGGCUGCGAGUGGAGGCCCCCACGCCGGGCCCCCGGGGAGGCUGCCCUUUCUCUUUAUCCACUGGGCUCUGAACCCAGGAAGAAUGAAAGUGAGCCCUACAAGAACAUCUUUGGGAGGGUUCUGCAGGAGCAACGUGGACCGUAACGUCAUAGUAUCUAGACUCUUCCGAAGGACAACUCUCACGCCGUGGCAAGCACCUGCCGAACCCUGGGGGUUCAACAUUCGGUGCCCGGACGCCAUGUGCAGAGUCUACGCAUGCGCAACGACAUGCGCAGGCGCCUUUCACCUCGGAGCGAGGGCUGCUGGGAAGAAGAGGGGCGGUAACCUUGCCUGCCGGCAGCUGUCCCAGGGUGCUUGCUACCGUUUUGUUCCUGCUCGUAACCUGCAGUUGCUCCUGUUCGUUUUCUGGGUCGCUAGAGAUGACUACAGAUGCCUUCUCUUGCCUCUGAAUUGUUUUUAAAAUGUACUUGUUUACCCAUCCAUGAGACACACAGGAAGCUCUUAGAUUCACUGAUUGGGGCCCCCACAGUGCUUGCAAGAGCCCGGGCUGGGCCGAGGGCUGGGCCGAGCGGGAGACUAGAGCCGGGGACUCCAUCCGGGUCUCCCAUUGUGACGGCAGGAACCCAGCUCCUUGGGCUGUCACCGAUGCCUUCCUGUGUUUCCAGGAAGCUGGAGCCAGGAGCCAGGAAUGGAAUCCAAGAACUCUAAUAGGGAACAGAGCAUCUUAACCAACGGCCAGACACCCGCCCCUGCCAAAGAGUUGUUUUUAAAGUGUUACACAUUUCUUUAAGAUUUAUUUUAUUUAUUUGAAAGAGAAAGGGGGAGGGAGGAUAGAUAGAUGAUUGAUGAUGGAUGGAUGGAUGGAUGGAUAGAUAGAUAGGUAAUAGCUAUCUUCCAUCUGCAGUGUCUGGGGCUGAACCAAACUGAAGCCAGAGCCUUCAUCCAGGUCUCCCAUGUACAAGCGGGGACCCAAGGACUUGGGCCAUCUGCUGCUGCUUUUCCCAGGCACAUUAGCAGGGAGCUGGAUUGGAAGUAGAGCAGCCAGGACCAGAACUGGUGCCCAUGUGGGAUGCUGGCAUUGCAGGUGGUGGGUUAGACCAUUAUGGCAUAACACCAGCCCUACAUUUCAUUUAUUAGAGAGAGAGAGAGAGAGAGAGAGAGAGAGAGAGAGGGCUCUCUUCCAUCUGCUGGUUCACUUUCCAAAUGCCCACAUCAGCGGCGGCUGGGACAGGCUCUAGCUAGGACAGAGCCAGGAACUCCAUCUAGGUCUCCCAUCAGGGUGGCCGGCACCUGAGGACUUAAGCCAUCACCCCUGCCUCCCAGGUCUGUAUUGGCAGGAAGCUGGAGUCAGACGCCAGGGACUGAACCCAAGUUCUAGGGCACGGGACCUCUACCUCUAGGCUGACCGCCCACGCCUGCCUCUGCAGUGUCAACCCUACUGGCUCCGUGGCUUUUCCCUGCCCUCAGCCUGCAUCUCAGGCAGAUGUUGGAGCCCUGUCCUCAACUUCCAGAGGGCAGCAGACUCCCCAGGUUGCCCCGGAGAUCCAUGUCCCCUUUCUGAUGUCAGAUGCAUACAAGGGUGCUUCCCAGCGUUUGUAGGAAAACAGGACGAAAAGAUGCGUGUAUUUUAGUGACAGAAAAAAUACUGAAAUCCAGGCAUAGUUUUCCACAGUGCACAUUCUGCUUGACCUGUUCUUCAAACGUUCCUCACAGGUGUCGAUUCCUAACAUUUUUUCCACUAAAAAAACCUUAGCAUUUAAUUCCAUUUUCCAUGAACUUUUUGAAGUGCCUUGUAUGAGGGUAAGGUGUUUUGCAGAGUGGAGGAGGGGAGGGAGUAGCCUGGGCUGUCAGCCAGGUAUUGUGUGUGGGGUGUCAUGGGACACGGAUCUGGCCAAUGAAGUGUACGUGUGUGGGCAGUCAGCCAAUACCUUCCCAGGCUCCCUUGCAGUGUAUAUGUGGGGGUGUCAUGGGACACAGAUCUGGCCAAUGAGGUAUAAGCAUGACCCUCCUCUCCCAGUGCCUGGGCCUUGAAUGUGAUUGCAUUCUCGUGAGCUGCCCAGAGGGAGUGGACACUUAGAUAUUUGGUCAGCAUCUGGGAUUUCCCAGCAGCCCCCCUCCUCCCGCAGCUUUUGUGGCAAUCUUGAAACUUUGGAAUCUGCACCACUUUGGUUGUGUGACUUGAGGCUGAGCCUCAGUUUCCCCGUCUUGCAAUAGGAGCUGUAGCAACACUGGCUUCUCAGGUUGGUGGGGCACAAGGGCAGCUUGCAGGGUCCAUGGGGACAGGAACUUGUUCAUGCUGCUCAGUAUGACAGACCCCCAAUACACUAUGAGUAUGCAGUAGGUGCUUAACAUGUGCAUGGAGUGAACGAGUGUACAGGUCUUAGCAGAGUGGUUCAAGAAACCUUAGCUAAAAAGAAAAAAACCUGAAAGAAUUGACUGGCAUUGUGGCACAGUGGGUUAAUCUGCCACCUGUGAUGCCGGCAUCCCAUAUGGGUUUGAGUCCUGGCUGCUCCACUUCUGAUCCAGCUCCCUGCUAAUACCCUGGGAAAGCAGUGGAAGAUGGCCCAAGUGCUUGGGCCCCUGCCACCCACAUGGGAGACCCUGAUGGAGUUCCAGGCUCUGGCCAUUACUGCCAUCUGGGGAGUGAACCAGCGGAUGGAAGACCUCUGUGUCUGUCUAUCUGUCUGUCUGUCUCUCUCUGUUACUCUGCCUUUAAAACAAAUAAAUUAAAAAAAAAAAAAACA